UACGGAGGGUGCGAGCGUUGUCCGGAAUCACUGGGCGUAAAGGGCGCGUAGGCGGCAGGUCAAGCGUGUGGUGAAAGCCCGGGGCUCAACCCCGGGUCGGCCAUGCGGACUGGCGUGCUUGAGCACUGUAGGGGCGGGUGGAAUUCCGGGUGUAGCGGUGGAAUGCGUUGAUAUCGACCGGAACUCCGGUGGCGAAGGCGAGGCGCUGGACCCUUUCUGACGCUGAGGCGCGAAAGCCAGGGGAGCAAACGGG
rnacentral:rRNA from 1 species